UUUUGAGACUCACUAUGUAGCUUUUUCCUGAACCUCACUAUAUAGACCAGACUACUCACAGCAAUCACCUGCCUCAGCCUCCUCUACUCUGGAAUUAAAGAAUAAAAGGUGUAGACCACCCACACCCAGAAUGACAGGGUUUCUCUAUAAAAACAGAAUCCUGGCUGUCUUGGAAUCACUUUGAAGACUAGGCUGGCCUCGAACUUAGAUAUCUGCCUGCAUAUGUCUGCUGAGUGCUGGGAUUAAAGGUGUGCCUCACCACACCUGGCUUAAAGGUUUAUACUAUUUAAGGUAUAUAUAUUUUAUUAGCUAUUUUCUUAAAUUCUUUCAGGCUAGUCUGGCCUAUUUAUUUUUCUCCUAAGUGUUUAGAAUAUUUAAUUAUACAUAUUGUAGCUGGACUUUUGGUUAUUUGUGGGUCUUUUUUCUUUCACCCUUUCAACCCCCUAACAUCAACUAGGAGAGCGAGAGGAUAGAGAUGACAGCUUCUGGGAGUCGGUUCUCUGCUCCACCCCAGGCACUGGGGACUGGCUCAGGCUGUCUGUCAGGUUUGUGCUGAGCCAGCUGGUCCUUUGCUUUUGCAGAUAUUUUCAUCUGACUUCUCACUGCAUUUGUGAUAUCUUGAACAGUCUAGACUCAUAGUCAUAUUAUCUACAAGGGGAAUAAUUUACUUCCUCCUGGUCUUAUGUUUUUAUUUUGCCUGUGUGACUGCGUUGGCCUGUGCUGUGCUGUGCUGUUCCUGCCUUUAGUGAAAAUUCUAACAGUUCUAAAUUAAGCCAAAUUCUAGCCUUUGUCCGAGGUAGAUACAUUUCAUCCUAUUAAGGAAAUACCUAUCAAGUGCAGGACUUUCUUGCCCAGGUUUGGAUUUCGUUCCCAGAGUCCAUAUUGGGCAACUCACAAGUGCCUGUAACUCUAGCGCCUGGGGAAAUCUUGACGCCCCCUCCUGGCCUCCUUGGGUACUGCAUGCACCUGUACAGACCCACACUCACACACAUAUACGCGUCAUUUAAAAUAAUAAAAACGGCC
rnacentral:lncRNA from 1 species